AUUUAUCCCUUCGAUUAUCCUUUAUAGAAAUAAAUACAAGUAUUUUGGUAUGAGAUAUUUUAGAAAGAAAAAUAUUUGGGAUUUUUAUAUAAUACAGCCGCCUCCAAAUAAUAUUUGAUGGACCGGCCAAAUAUGCCAAAGCCCAAGAAGAUUUUAGGCCACUUGAUUACAAGGAACUUGGCCAAAGACCAACUACCUUCUACUAGCCGGACGAGAAACAAACUAGCGGAUUGGCAAUUUUCAAGCUACCUUCUAGUCCAUCUAUAUCAUAUAGGUGUCAAACGGGCCGGGUUGACCGGACCUAGACUGGCCCGGCCCGGCCCAAUGCUUAGGGGGCUGGGUGGGCUAUGUUUUUCUAUAAAAAUUGCACGGGGCGUUUAAUUUGAUCGCCCUCAUUUAACAUAUACAUAUUUUUCUAAAAUUUUUUUACUUGUAUCCACUUUGUAAAUAACUUCAGCCCCCUUUUCUCAUCCUCCUUUACUUUCUUCCUUCUCCUUCUCCCCCUUCUUCUCCUUCUUCCUUCUCUCUUUCUAUCUUUCUCAUCGUCCAAUUCAUAAUCUUAUAGGAAAUCGAAGGAAUCACCCAGACUUAUUCUU
rnacentral:lncRNA from 1 species